GGCACAAGCGGUGGAGCAUGUGGUUUAAUUUCGACGCAACGCGCAGAACCUUACCUGGGCUUGACAUCCCGAUCGCCAUCCCACUGGAAACAUGGGAGUCAGUUCGGCUGGAUCGGUGACAGGUGGCUGCAUGGCUGUCGUCAGCUCGUGUCGUGAGAUGUCGGGUUAAGUCCUUUAACGAGCGCAACUCCUGCCAUUAGUUGCAACUCCGUAAGGAGGCACUCUAAUGGGACUGCCUGGGAAACCAGGAGGAAGGUGGGAAUGACGUCAAGUCAGCAUGGUCCUUAUGUCUAGGGCGACACACGUGUUACAAUGGAUGCUACAGAGGGAAGCAAGACCGCGAGGUGGAGCCAACCCCUAAAAGCAUUCGUAGUUGGGAUCGGAGUCUGCAACUCGACUCCGUGAAGCUGGAUUCGCUAGUAAUCGGAUAUCAGCAAUGAUCCGGUGAAUACGUUCCCGGGCCUU
rnacentral:rRNA from 1 species